rnacentral:sRNA from 1 species
AAGUCGUAACAAGGUUUCCGUAGGUGAACCUGCGGAAGGAUCAUUAUUGAAUUAUAGGCGAGGGUUGUCGCUGGCCUCUCGGGGCAUGUGCACGCCCGAGCCAUCCCCCAACACACACCGUGGGCCUUCGGGCCUGCGUAUAUUUACUCUGAAUGUGUAUAGAAUGUAAACCAUUUGUUUGCCCUGAAAAAGCAAACGAAAAAAGUACAACUUUCAACAACGGAUCUCUUGGCUCUCGCAUCGAUGAAGAACGCAGCGAAAUGCGAUAAGUAAUGUGAAUUGCAGAUUUUCAGUGAAUCAUCGAAUCUUUGAACGCACCUUGCGCCCCUUGGUAUUCCGAGGGGCAUGCCUGUUUGAGUGUCAUAAAAUCCUCAACCGCGCCGAUUGAUUUCGGUGAGGCUUGGACUUGGAGCGUGCUGGCGAAGGUCGGCUCCUCUUUAAAUGCAUCAGCGGAAGAAACCUUUGUCUUUCCUGCCUUCGGUGUGAUAAUCACGUUGCGCCGUGGGUGGAACUUCAACGAUCCGCUCCCAAUGGUCUUCGGACGAAAUGUCAUCUUGACCUCAAAUCAGGUAGGACUACCCGCUGAACUUAA